rnacentral:rRNA from 1 species
GAUGAACGCUGGCGGCGUGCCUAAUACAUGCAAGUCGAGCGAACAGACGAGGAGCUUGCUCCUCUGACGUUAGCGGCGGACGGGUGAGUAACACGUGGAUAACCUACCUAUAAGACUGAGAUAACUUCGGGAAACCGGAGCUAAUACCGGAUAAUAUAUUGAACCGCAUGGUUCAAUAGUGAAAGACGGUUUUGCUGUCACUUAUAGAUGGAUCCGCGCCGCAUUAGCUAGUUGGUAAGGUAACGGCUUACCAAGGCGACGAUGCGUAGCCGACCUGAGGGGGUGAUCGGCCACACUGGAACUGAGACACGGUCCAGACUCCUACGGGAGGCAGCAGUAGGGAAUCUUCCGCAAUGGGCGAAAGCCUGACGGAGCAACGCCGCGUGAGUGAUGAAGGUCUUCGGAUCGUAAAACUCUGUUAUUAGGGAAGAACAAAUGUGUAAGUAACUAUGCACGUCUUGACGGUACCUAAUCAGAAAGCCACGGCUAACUACGUG